rnacentral:ncRNA from 1 species
GAUAAUGCUAUGAUGGGAAAGAGUACUAUAGAUUCAAUCUUAAGAGAGGAAAUGUCAAUGGCUGUAAGCAUUUCUGAUAUGGCUAUAGGAAAACUAACCUUGAGCAGUGAUUUAGUAGCUAUAAGUGAAAGUAUUACCGGGUGGCAACGUUAAUGCUAAGAGAGUGAAUAUUUUAAUUAGGGUGGAACCGCGGGUGUAACCUCUCGUCCCUACG